GACUCAAGAUUAGUAUAUUCUGUAGCUAGUGUAAUGAUAGGACUGACAUGUUUUUUCAUAGGAGUUUAUACAAACCACGACGGCGAGACAAACAGUAAAACGUCCGAAACAAAAGGUUGAAUCCCCGUCCACACUACAGCGGAGGAAUUUGAAAACGGAGGUUAAUCAAACGGAGGUUAAUCAAACGGAGGUUAAUCAAACGGAGGUUAAUCACUCU